AUCACCAUCGAAGCAAUUCGGCCUUGGCGUUGCUUCUUCUUCCACUCCUCUCGAUUCCUUCGCCUCGUGGAUCGCCGACAAUCGCGGGUUGCUUGAUCGCCGGCCAUCACCGUCCCUCCUCAGUUCCGAUCGUGCAGCAUUGUUUGACCCACCGCCGAGGCUUCUUGCCUUUCUUCCCAGGUAGCUGGUCGCAUGAGAGGAAAUCGUCGGCCAAGAGAGGGUAAAGGCGAGCCCUAGCCGUCUCUCCGUGGAUGUCUAGUGCCUUCUCAUCAUCGGAUCUUGGAGCAGGGAGGUCCACUUCACUGGAUUCCGGUUCCUCCUUCUCAUUGGUGUUGAUUGGCUGCUGAUCCUAGAGUGGAUGGACUGCCGAAGCAGAAUUUGGUGUAAGAUUGCUAGUGAUCCACGGUUCCGACGAUCCAGUUGCAAUAGUGAAUUCCUCCGGUCAUGUUCCACCAGUGGUCAUGGUUAAUUUGGGUGUUUGAUGAAAUGCCUUAAGCUGCUUGUUUCCUCUGUUUAUGCCGGACUAUCUGCAAAGGGGUGGGGAAGCUCCAUUUUUCUCCACAACAAACUUUGGAUUUCUUCAUCAAAAGGGUGUGAAUCUGUUUUGGAUCAAGGACUUGGAUUCGGGACGAGCGUCUCGACGUGGG